GAUGAACGCUGGCGGCGUGCCUAACACAUGCAAGUCGAGCGCCCCGCAAGGGGAGCGGCGGACGGGUGAGUAACGCGUGGGAACGUGCCUCUUGCUACGGAAUAGCCUCGGGAAACUGGGAGUAAUACCGUAUGUGCCCUACGGGGGAAAGAUUUAUCGGCAAGAGAUCGGCCCGCGUUGGAUUAGCUAGUUGGUGAGGUAAUGGCUCACCAAGGCGACGAUCCUUAGCUGGUCUGAGAGGACGACCAGCCACACUGGGACUGAGACACGGCCCAGACUCCUACGGGAGGCAGCAGUGGGGAAUAUUGGACAAUGGGCGCAAGCCUGAUCCAGCCAUGCCGCGUGAGUGAUGAAGGCCUUAGGGUUGUAAAGCUCUUUUGCCGGGGACGAUAAAUGACGGUACCCGGAGAAUAAGUCCCGGCUAACUCCGUGCCAGCAGCCGCGGUAAACAUAACUCGUA
rnacentral:rRNA from 1 species